rnacentral:lncRNA from 1 species
GAAAAUGCUUUUCCCUUGUCUUCCACCAAUCCAAAAGGUCGAAAGAUCCGUCUGGAUUAUCAUUCUCUAGCCCCUGCGACAAAUAAACUUGAAGCUCGUUUAGAUGGGAAAUAUCAUCUAAAUUAUCACCUUGAGUACCCCUGAACUCCGUCCACGAUUUAAGAGUUGUUAAGCCAGCAACUCUUUUAGACGCCUGUGAUG